rnacentral:tRNA from 1 species
UGGGGGAUAGCUCAGUGGUUAAGAGCACUGGCUACUUUUCCAGAUGACCUGGGUUUGAUUCCCAGCACCUAC